GGGGUUGUGGCUCAGUGGUAGAGUGCUUGCCUAGCACAUAUGAUGCAUUGGGUUCAAACCUCAGCAGUACCA
rfam:Ictidomys tridecemlineatus contig094253, whole genome shotgun sequence.